GCUACAUCAGGUUGCAGCAGCAAAGAGCCAUCCUCUAUAAGCGGCUCAAAGUAUCUCCUGCUAUAAAUCAGUUUACCCAGGCCCUGGAUAAGCAAACAGCUACUCAGCUGCUUAAGCUCGCCCACAAGUACAGGCCAGAGACAAAGCAGGAGAAGAAGCAAAGGCUGCUGGCCCAUGCUGGGAAGAAAGCUGCUGGCAAAGGGGACGUCCCAACUAAGAGACCACCUGUCCUCCGAUCAGGGGUCAAUAUAGUCACCACCUUGGUGGAGAACAAGAA
rnacentral:lncRNA from 1 species